rnacentral:rRNA from 1 species
GAUGAACGCUAGCGGGAGGCCUAACACAUGCAAGCCGAGCGGUAGAGUUUCUUCGGAAACUUGAGAGCGGCGCACGGGUGCGUAACACGUGUGCAACCUACCUUUAUCUGGGGGAUAGCCUUUCGAAAGGAAGAUUAAUACCCCAUAAUAUAAUGAUUGGCAUCAAUUAUUAUUGAAAACUCCGGUGGAUAGAGAUGGGCACGCGCAAGAUUAGAUAGUUGGUGAGGUAACGGCUCACCAAGUCAAUGAUCUUUAGGGGUCCUGAGAGGGAGAUCCCCCACACUGGUACUGAGACACGGACCAGACUCCUACGGGAGGCAGCAGUGAGGAAUAUUGGACAAUGGGUGAGAGCCUGAUCCAGCCAUCCCGCGUGAAGGAUGACGGUCCUAUGGAUGGUAAACUUCUUUUGUACAGGGAUAAACCUACCCUCGUGAGGGUAGCUGAAGGUACUGUACGAAUAAGCACCGGCCAACUCCGUG